rnacentral:rRNA from 1 species
GACGAACGCUGGCGGCGUGCUUAACACAUGCAAGUCGAACGGAAAGGCCCUGCUUUUGUGGGGUGCUCGAGUGGCGAACGGGUGAGUAACACGUGAGUAACCUGCCCUUGACUUUGGGAUAACUUCAGGAAACUGGGGCUAAUACCGGAUAGGAGCUCCUGCUGCAUGGUGGGGGUUGGAAAGUUUCGGCGGUUGGGGAUGGACUCGCGGCUUAUCAGCUUGUUGGUGGGGUAGUGGUUUACCAAGGCUUUGACGGGUAGCCGGCCUGAGAGGGUGACCGGCCAAAUGGGGAAUGAGAUACGGCCCAAACCCCUAGGGGGGGCAGGAGGGGGGAAUAUUGCAAAAGGGGGGGAAGCCUGAGGCAGCAACGCCGCGGGGGGGAGGAGGGCCUUGGGGUUGAAAACCGCUUUCGCCUGGGGCGAAGGGGGAGGGGGGGUAAUGGGGAAAGAAGCCCGGGCAAACUACGG